rnacentral:sRNA from 1 species
UGGGUAAGGCACAUGACUCUCUGUGGGUCUCGGGCUAUGUUUAUCUGUCUCUCUCAGAGACUUGCUGCAUAGACCAAUGCAUUGUAUGUGUGCAGUCCUCAGAGCUGCCUGUCAUAGAAUAAAUGCUUGGUAAACACAGGCGGCAUGAGCAUUGAGCUGAGCUGUUCCUUCCGCAGUCUCUCUGCCACGCCUGGUCGAUCUGGACUGGAGAGUGGAUAUCAAAACCUCCUCAGACAGCAUCAGCCGCAUGGCCGUCCCCACCUGCCUGCUCCAGAUGAAGAUCCAAGAAGAUCCCAGCCUAUGUGGAGACAAACCCUCCAUCUCAGCUGUCACCGUGGAGCUGAGCAAAGAAACACUGGACACCAUGUUAGAUGGCCUGGGCCGCAUCCGAGACCAACUCUCUGCCGUGGCCAGUAAAUGAUCCAGCCAGCUGCCAGGGCCACUGCCAUGACCCAGCUGCUCAUGAAUGAUAAAUGUCUCCCCAUAUGCAGGCUGCCCUUGCAGCUGCAGCUGACAACAGGCAGGAUGGUGGGAACAGCAGGGGGCUACUGCCAUCCAGAAGUUACAGUUGGAUUGGGAA